UACGUAGGGUGCAAGCGUUGUCCGGAAUUAUUGGGCGUAAAGAGCUUGUAGGCGGUUUGUCGCGUCUGCUGUGAAAUUUCGGGGGCUCAACCCCGAACUUGCAGUGGGUACGGGCAGACUAGAGUGUGGUAGGGGGAGACUGGAAUUCCUGGUGUAGCGGUGAAAUGCGCAGAUAUCAGGAGGAACACCGGUGGCGAAGGCGGCUCUCUGGACCGCAACUGACGCUGAGGCGCGAAAGCUAGGGGGAGCAAACAGG
rnacentral:rRNA from 1 species